rnacentral:piRNA from 1 species
UGAAGAUGAAGCCUGGAAACAGGGCCUGU